GACGAACGCUGGCGACGCGCUUAACACAUGCCAGUCGAACGGAAAGGCCUGCUUUCCCUUGUGGAUUGCGGGUACUCGAGUGGCGAACGGGUGAGUAACACGUGAGUGAUCUGCCCCCAACUUGGGUAUAAGCCUGGGAAACUGGGUCUAAUUCCCGAUAGGACUGCAGGGUGGUGCCUGUGGUGGAAAACGAUUUUCUAGUGGUUGGGGAUGAGCUGGCGGCCUAUCAGCUUGUUGGUGGGGUAAUGGCCUACCAAGGCGGCGACGGGUAGCCGGCCUGAGAGGGUGGACAGGAUAAGUGGGACUGGGUUGCGGCCCUGACUCGGACGGGAGGCAGCGGUGAGGAAUAUUGCACACUGGGCGGAAGCCUGAUGCAGCGACGCCGCGUGGGGGAUGACGGGCUUCGGGUUGUAAACUCCUUUCGAGCGCGAGGAAGCCACCUGGUUGGAAGGGUGGUGACGGUAGUGGUAGAAGAAGCACCGGCUAACUGCGUG
rnacentral:rRNA from 1 species